rnacentral:rRNA from 1 species
AUUGAACGCUGGCGGCAUGCCUUACACAUGCAAGUCGAACGGUAACAGGUCUUCGGAUGCUGCCGAGUGGCGAACGGGUGAGUAAUACAUCGGAACGUGCCCGAUCGUGGGGGAUAACGGAGCGAAAGCUUUGCUAAUACCGCAUACGAUCUACGGAUGACAGCAGGGGACCGCAAGGCCUUGCGCGGACGGAGCGGCCGAUGGCAGAUUAGGUAGUUGGUGGGAUAAAAGCUUACCAAGCCGACGAUCUGUAGCUGGUCUGAGCGGACGACCAGCCACACUGGGACUGAGACACGGCCCAGACUCCUACGGGAGGCAGCAGUGGGGAAUUUUGGACAAUGGGCGAAAGCCUGAUCCAGCCAUGCCGCGUGCAGGAUGAAGGCCGUCGGGUUGUAAACUGCUUUUGUACGGAACGAAAAGACUCUUUCUAAUAAAGAGGGUCCAUGACGGUACCGUAAGAAUAAGCACCGGCUAACUACGU